rnacentral:rRNA from 1 species
AUACGGAGGAUGCGAGCGUUAUCCGGAUUUAUUGGGUUUAAAGGGAGCGUAGGUGGGAUAUUAAGUCAGCUGUGAAAGUUUGGGGCUCAACCUUAAAAUUGCAGUUGAUACUGGUUUCCUUGAGUACGGUACAGGUGGGCGGAAUUCGUGGUGUAGCGGUGAAAUGCUUAGAUAUCACGAAGAACUCCGAUCGCGAAGGCAGCUCACCGGGCCGGAACUGACACUGAUACUCGAAAGUGCGGGUAUCAAACAGGAUUAGAUACCCUGGUAGUCCGCACAGUAAACGAUGAAUACUCGCUGUUUGCGAUACACUGUAAGCGGCCAAGCGAAAGCGUUAAGUAUUCCACCUGGGGAGUACGCCGGCAACGGUGAAACUCAAAUGAAUUGACGGGG